ensembl:lncRNA
CCACAGCAUGGCGUGCCAAGCAGUGCCAUGUCCACACCCGGGACCCGAACCGGCGAACCCCGGGCCGCCAAAGCAGAAUGUGUGCACUUAACCACUGCGCCACCGGGUGGCCCCUGAACGUUGCUUUUCUACGCGCUGGGAAACCCGAGAAAUCGUGAGACCCGCUUUAUUGCGACCUUGGCUUUAUUGUGCAGUCUGGAACCGAACCCACGGUGCCUGUACCACCUCCGGGUGAUACAUAGCAGGGAAUGCAGCAGACUUUUCCUCAAAGGAAAGAGAUUUCCAGAAGGGAGUCAGAAACUUUCAUUCGUUCAUUCACUCAUUCAUUCCUACAGUUACCGUCUUCCCUGAACCCCCAGGCUUUGCAGGGUGGGUGGAGCAAUGGCCCAGACCCUGGAGCCGGCUUGGGGCAAAGCAGAAACAGCAAGAAGACCUGCGAUGGGGCGACCUGUGGACUGCAGUGUGCCCCUGCCUGCGUGGGGACAGGUCAAGGGGCCAUCGAGGAGUAGGCGUGUCACCUGUUGCCAGGUGCCAGGUGCCCGUGGCGGGAAGCCCCUCGUGCACAUCCCUGCCCAUCUAGUGCUGGCGACAACUCCGGGAGGCGGGUGCUAUGGGAACCGCCAUCCUUCAGACGACAGAAACCAGGUCGCCACAGGGCCCUGCCCGCCCAGCAUCACAGGCGGCACCCGACACGCAUCAGCUGUGAUUGUUGGAGCGUGGGUGCUCUUUAUUUAUUACAGGACCCUCCGGCAGUGUCAGGGCACGGAGAGUGUGCAGCCAAGGAACCCGACAAGCUGGCUGCAGAUUUACGAAGUGGUGCCAGCUCCCGGAGAACAUCGUCCGUCUCAGAAACGACUUCCUCAUCGUUCCUCAGAGACUCGAAGCAAUUAUUCUGUUUUCUUACCAUUUUGGAUGCAUUUGAGUCAUGAAAAUAACACCGGACAUGAAAAUGCAACAGGACCCAAGAGCAGCUGUCUCUCCGCCCUUUCGAAAUGAGCCACUGGCCCUUGGCUUUAUUCUAAGUUAUCCUGAUUCCCUCAGACUUCACCUACGAGGAGGGCAAUCUGGUCUUGUUACUUCCAGAAACUCACUAGUAUUGUCUCUUGUCUGAUUCCAGCAUUUUCACGUGCAAAAGAGAACGGCCAGCCCAAGGUGUGGUCUGCUUUUUCUUUCUUUCUUUUUUUGUUUUGAGGAAGAUUGGCCCUGAGCUAACAUCUGCCACCAAUCCUCCUCUUUUUUUUUUUUUUUUUUUUGCUGAGGAAGACUGGCCCUGAGUUAACAUCCAUGCCCAUCUACUUUAUAUGUGGAACGCCUACCACAGCAUGGCGUGCCAAGUGGUGCCAUGUCCACACCCAGGACCCAAACCGGCAAACCUGGGGCUGCUGCUCUUUCUGACUUUGAAGACGUUGGAGGAGGAGCUCUUCCGACAUCAGCACAUCCUCCUUGCUCCCUCGGGAAUCCCAAUCUUUCUCUAAAUGAGUUUGUAGAAGAAAAGGCAUUUUGUACGAAAGCCGUGAUUUCUUGCCCCGCCCGCUUUGCCGUAUGUUCGAGACCAUUUAGAAAACAGAAACUCAACUCGAGUAAAAGCACAGAGGUGUCGCCCUCCCUGGAGCCCCUGCCCCCCUCCCCCCAGGGGCGUCGGAUCCUUCCGGAGACAUUCGAGCAUCUGCACGACCAGGUUCACAUAUUGUGUCCCUUUUGGACCGCGGUUUCUAUAAAGGGUGGCUCACGACGUACACGGCCUCAGAUUGCCCCCCAGCUCAGAACACAGAGGGCCCCCUCGUUCGUUGUGUGCCCCCCCCAAACUGUGGGUGGACACUGGCUGUUUCUGUUCUUGGGCUCAGCAAGCUCUCCGGCUGCUGUGUCUUGAUAUACCUGUGACCUCGUGAAGGCCCAGGCCGGAUGUUCCGACAGCUGGUUCAGAUUCACCAUUCGCCUUUUCAAAAAUUUUUAUUUUCAGUUACUUGAUUACUUGGAACUUCAUCCAUGUGGCAAGCAGCCUUGUCUUGUGCCGUGGACUUUUGCAGACAGAUCUGGCUUCAAAUCUCGAUUCUGUUACUUAGAAGCUGUGUGACCUUGUGCAAGUUACUUAACCUCUCUGUGUCUCCAUGAGCAAGUUACUUAACUUCUCCGUGCCUCGGUCUCCUCCCCAACUUAAAGGGGGGUGAUGAUGAUGACAGCCCCCAUACCGUGGGCUCCUGAGGAGGACUAAAUGAGUCCAAAAGGUGGCCUUUUCUUGGAACGGUUCCCAGCAUACGUUUCCAUCAUUUCAUGCAUCCAGACCUACAAGGGGAUCCGAGGCAGCGAGCAUUUGCAAGAAAUGUUUCCCAGACUGGAAACACUGAAUCUCCGUGCGCAUCUCUUCUUUCCUUCCUCUUCCCGCGUCCUCCUGCCAACAUUUGCUGAGGGCUCCUGGAUCGGCUAGACACCCGGUAGGACAGGCCAGCGCCCCCGCCUGCUCAGGCGGCCUGUUUGGGGCCAGGGACAUUUCUGCAAAUCCUGGGGCCUGCGCUGGGGGAGCCAGGGUGCCUCUGCGAGAUUGAGGUCUCCCCCAGAACAUCUACGAGAUGUCGCGCAGACAGACCCGGGCCAGAGAGGGAGCAACUUGCUGGGCGUCACACAGCACAUCGGCUGCCCCAGGGGAGGGGGUGUUGAAGGACCCAAGAUAUCAUUUUAAAGGAAGCUGUUUUGGGGGGACAGCUUCCUCUGCAUCAAGCAGAGCGAUGCACGCGUCCUCAGGAAGCGCGAAAAUCAUCUCGGCCGACCGCAGGCGUAGAAUGUUCUUUUUCAGGAGCUACAAUGUAACAACUCUUUGCAACAUUGUUUAUCUAAAGUCCCCAGAGUUACAACCUCCGCCAGUUUCCGCAGGGCCGCGGUUAAGCACGCUGACUCCACAUCCACCAACGUCCUCGG